CCUACGGGUGGCAGCAGUGGGGGAUAUUUCACAAUGGGGGAAACCCUGAUGCAGCGACGCCGCGUGAGUGAAGAAGUAUUUCGGUAUGUAAAGCUCUAGCAGCAGGGAAGAAAAUGACAGUACCUGACCAACAAGCCGCGGCUAACUACGUGCCAGCAGCCGCGGUAAUACGUAGGGGGCAAGCGUUAGCCGGAUUUACUGGGUGUAAAGGGAGCGUAGACGGUUAUGUAAGUCUGGAGUGAAAGCCCGGGGCCCAACCCCGGGACGGCGUUGGAAACUGUGUAACUGGAGUACAGGAGGGGCAGGCAGAAUUCCUGGUGUAGCGGUGAAAUGCGUAGAUAUCAGGAGGAACACUGGCGGCGAAGGCGGGCUGCUGGACUGUAACUGACGUUGAGGCUCGAAGGCGAGGGGAGCGAACAGGAUUAGAUACCCCUGUAGUC
rnacentral:rRNA from 1 species